CCUACGGGAGGCAGCAGUAGGGAAUCUUCGGCAAUGGACGGAAGUCUGACCGAGCAACGCCGCGUGAGUGAAGAAGGUUUUCGGAUCGUAAAGCUCUGUUGUAAGAGAAGAACGAGUGUGAGAGUGGAAAGUUCACACUGUGACGGUAUCUUACCAGAAAGGGACGGCUAACUACGUGCCAGCAGCCGCGGU
rnacentral:rRNA from 1 species